rnacentral:rRNA from 1 species
UACGGAGGGUGCAAGCGUUAAUCGGAAUUACUGGGCGUAAAGCGUACGCAGGCGGUCUGUUAAGUCAGAUGUGAAAUCCCCGGGCUUAACCUGGGAACUGCAUUUGAAACUGGCAGGCUUGAGUCUCGUAGAGGGGGGUAGAAUUCCAGGUGUAGCGGUGAAAUGCGUAUAGAUCUGGAGGAAUACCGGUGGCGAAGGCGGCCCCCUGGACGAAGACUGACGCUCAGGUGCGAAAGCGUGGGGAGCGAACAGG